rnacentral:rRNA from 1 species
GAUGAACGCUAGCGGGAGGCCUAACACAUGCAAGCCGAGCGGUAUUGUUUCUUCGGAAAUGAGAGAGCGGCGUACGGGUGCGUAACACGUGUGCAACCUGCCUUUAUCUGGGGGAUAGCCUUUCGAAAGGAAGAUUAAUACUCCAUAACAUAUUGAACGGCAUCGUUUAAUAUUGAAAGCUCCGGCGGAUAGAGAUGGGCACGCGCAAGAUUAGCUAGUUGGUGAGGUAACGGCUCACCAAGGCGAUGAUCUUUAGGGGGCCUGAGAGGGUGCUCCCCCACACGGGUACUGAGACACGGACCAGACUCCUACGGGAGGCAGCAGUGAGGAAUAUUGGACAAUGGGUGAAAGCCUGAUCCAGCCAUCCCGCGUGAAGGACGACUGCCCUAUGGGUUGUAAACUUCUUUUGUAUAGGGAUAAACCUACCCUCGUGAGGGUAGCUGAAGGUACUAUACGAAUAAGCACCGGCUAACUCCGUGCCAGCCGCCGCUGUAA